AUUUUGAAGUUUAAAUAAAUCGUAUUUCUGUAUUUUACGUCGAUGUUUAGGCAGCAUGUCGUUAACUAAGACGUCACAGACUGCCCUGUUUGAAGAGGU